rnacentral:lncRNA from 1 species
GAAAAAAAUCCAGCUGCAUUGAAGGUGCAUUUUGCCUUAGAAAGAGAGGGAUACCACAGAAAGAGAGAAGAUGUGGGUCCAUUUCCCCACUCACCACCAAGAAGUCCUGUGAUCUUGAUCUUUCUGACCUCAAUUUCCUCUCGUUUAGGAAAGGGAAAUGAUCACCCAUCUUCCAGAAUACUCUUGAGGGCUGAGUAAGACCAUGCUUGGGAAGGCACUGGGCACAGGCCUGGAGUGUAGCAGAUGCUCAUAUUGGUCAUGUCCAAAUCUGAACUUCCUGAAUUCCCUGGGAUAUAUGCGUACAGCCUAUCUUGAUCAACAGUCGGCAGCAACACAUUGCAGAUAUAAUCUCAAGACCUUGUGGCAUGUACUUGUCACUACAUGCAUAACUUACUAUGGACAGAGGAUCACGGAGAUUUUGAACAUAAUUUCCCACACGACAGGAGAUUAAAUAGACCACAUUGGAAGAAGGCAAGAAGAAGCUAGGUCUCUGGAGUACCAAAAAGUAAACUUCAGCCAGUUCUGGAAGCAUAUAAACAGCAGGAAAUAUACUUGCCGAUGGGCUACUUUCUCAAGAGUUCCUGCUUUCUAGAACUCUGGGGAAAGAAUGAGUUAGUGGGUAAGAAUGUAAGAGGAAAAAGGACCUUCCCUGGAAAGAUUUGGAGUGGAAGAAAAUCCGUGUCUCCUCAUUUAUGUAUGACUUUCUCCUCUCCCUUUGUGAUGCCCCUUUCUUGAAGAAUCCGCUCCCCCAGGUUCACUCCAUCAGAACCUACUCCUGAGACUGCAUUCCUGGCACCUAUAGUGAGGUGUUAAGUCAAUGCCCUACCUUUCAGUAUGUAUGUAAAUAUCAAGCUUUCUUUCUAUGUUUUUUUUUUUUUUCCAGUGAAGAAUUACUGGCUAUCAACAAAUAAAUAAGAGAAGGCAUUAGGGUCCAAAAGCACUUUUUAGGUCUCCCAGAAACCAUUCUACCCAGCAUCCUACAGUACCAUCUUGGACCUGCUGUGCCUAGUUUCCUUACUUGUGAAAACAAAAGAACAGUAGAACCUAACUCACGUGACUCUUGCAAAGAUGAUAGGAGUUCACCCUUAGAAAGCCUGACACGUUGUAAGUGCUUGGUAUGUAUUUAUUAUUAUUACCAUUAUUAGUAUAUGACAUAAAAGCCUUUCUGAAACAAAAAAAUCACAUGAAAUCAUCAACAGUCAUCAUCAUGAAUGAAAGCAUGUAUGGAGCUGGUUUACGAUGCGGUGUGGCAUCGUGGUUAAGAACACAGGUUUUCAAAGUCGACCACCUGUGCCCAAAACCUGGUGUUGCCACAUGGCCUUAUAUGACAUGGGCCUCAGAUUUCUAAGCUGAAAAGGGGGAAACAAUGUCUAUUACACAGAAUUGCUGUGAAGAUUAAACCACCUAAGAACUGUAAGACACUGAACAGUGCCUGAUAUAAAAUAAACACCCAAUAAAUGAGAGCGGGGGGGAAAAGAGUGCUCUUCAACCGAGAUUUAUCUUCAGAAAUUGUUUUGUUCAGAAACUGACUGACUGUUUGGAAAUAUUACUGUUGGAGCUGGAAGGCUACAAAUAACCCCUGAGAUGUGAGCCAGUGAAGAAAUAGGUAUCAGAGUCAUCCGGUCAUAGCUGUGGGAGUCGAAUGGACUUCCCAACACCACAACCUUGAAUGAGGCACACUCGCCCUACAGUCCUUGACCAAGCAGUACUGCAGGCCACCUCAAAGAUGGGAAUGAAAACCAAAACUGGCUGAGUUUCACCAGCUCCACUACUUCUUCCAAACACAGUCUUCAGAUAAGUCUCUCCUCUUCCCAAGGGGAAGGAAGACUGGGUGAAUUUGUGGUAUAAGGCUGGAAACUUUUCUUCCUUAUUUUUUCUUCAUGAAGUGAGGAGUAGAAAUGCCGUGCCCUCUAUGGGCACUUGCAGAUUAUAAAAGCUUCCCCCAACAUUUGGCCUUAACUAAUACAUUCAUAUGUUUCUAGAGCCACAUGGUCUAUAUGGAGAAACUAAGUGAGGCUGCCCUCCAGAGUACACUGAUAAACAUCACUGCUAAGUAUAAAUAUUUUAUUUUUUUGUGACAGUUUGUCUUCAAGACGACCAGCUACAAUUCCUCCUCUCUCCCAUAUAUGCCAUUCCUCCAUCUAGAGUUGGAGCUUUUCCUCCACCCUACUGAAUCUGGGCUAGCGUGUGACUGCUUUGAUGGGUAGGAUACAUCAGAAGCAGUGCUGCUUGGACUCCCAGGCUAGGGUGUAAGAUACCUUGCAACUUCUGCCUGGUUCUCUGGGAAUGCUUGUUCUGGAAGAAGCCAGCUUUCAUGAAAGUAAGAAUCAAAUUGCCCUGAAACCUCUGGGCUAUGAGGAAAUCCAAGGUAGCCAUGUGGAGAGGGAGAUGCCCAGCCAGCCCCUAGAUGUUCCAAUCAUCCCACCUGACACGUGGGAAUGAAGAAUCCAUCUAUUCAGCCAGUUCUUUUUUUUUUAUUUUUAUUUUUUUUUAUUUUUUAUUCAGCCAGUUCUUCAGAUGAUCCAUCCCCAGCUAUAAACAUUAGGGAAAUUUCAAGUGAAAACCACCCAGCCAAGCCCAUUCAACUCACAGAACUAUGGGAGAUCAUGAGUAGUAUUUGGUGAUUUCAAGAAACUAAGUUUUAGGGUGUUCGUCAUACAGCAAUUGAUCACCAAAUACUCCCUUUAACAGACUAUACCAAAUUUCUCACUGAACUUGUUUUUUGUUUGUUUAUUUAUUUUAUUUAUUUAUUUAUUUUUUUGGAUCUCACUCAAAUGGCACUUGAAC